rnacentral:rRNA from 1 species
UACGGAGGGUGCGAGCGUUAUCCGGAAUCACUGGGUUUAAAGGGUGCGUAGGCGGGAGAAUAAGUCAGAGGUGAAAGCUCAUCGCUCAACGAUGGAAUUGCCUUUGAUACUGUUUUUCUUGAAAUAUGAUGAGGUUGGCGGAAUGAGACAUGUAGCGGUGAAAUGCAUAGAUAUGUCUUAGAACACCGAUUGCGAAGGCAGCUGACUGGACAUUAUUUGACGCUGAGGCACGAAAGCGUGGGGAUCAAACAGG